UACGUAGGGUGCAAGCGUUGUCCGGAAUUAUUGGGCGUAAAGCGUCCGCAGGUGGCAGUUCAAGUCUGCUGUCAAAGACCGGGGCUUAACUUCGGAAAGGCAGUGGAAACUGAACAGCUAGAGUAUGGUAGGGGCAGAGGGAAUUCCUGGUGUAGCGGUGAAAUGCGUAGAGAUCAGGAAGAACAUCGGUGGCGAAGGCGCUCUGCUGGACCAUAACUGCCACUCAGGGACGAAAGCUAGGGGAGCGAAUGGG
rnacentral:rRNA from 1 species